UAACGGCGAGUGAAGCGGCAAAAGCUCAAAUUUGAAAUCUGGCGCCUGCAAGUGUCCGAGUUGUACUUUGGAGAGGCAUCUUCGUGAGGGGUCCAGCCUAUGUUCCUUGGAACAGGGCGUCACAGAGGGUGAGAAUCCCGUUCGUGGCUGGAUACUCCUUGCAGUAUGUAGUGUCUUCAAUGAGUCGAGUUGUUUGGGAAUGCAGCUCAAAAUGGGUGGUAAAUUUCAUCUAAAGCUAAAUAUUGGCGAGAGACCGAUAGCGCACAAGUAGAGUGAUCGAAAGAUGAAAAGCACUUUGAAAAUAGAGUCAAACAGUACGUGAAAUUGUUGAAAGGGAAGCGCUUGAGAUCAGAGUCAGCCUUUGACAAACAACAUUCCUUAUGGAUAGUGCACUUGUUAUUGGCUGGGCCAGCAUCAGUUGGGACGGUAGGAUAAAGGCCUUGGGAAUGUGACUCCCUUCCGGAGUGUUAUAGCCCUUGGUGCCAUACUGCCUGCCCUGACUGUGGACCGCGCUUCGGCUUGGAUGCUGGCUUAAUGGUCUUCAGCGGCCCGUCUUGAAACACGGACCAAGGAGUCUAACGUCUAUGCAAGUGUUUGGGCUCAAAACCCUCACGCGUAAUGAAAGUGAACGGAGGUGGGAACCCUGCAAGGGGUGCACCAUCGACCGAUCCUGAUGUCUUCGGAUGGAUUUGAGUAGGAGCAUAGCUGUUGGGACCCGAAAGAUGGUGAACUAUGCCUGAAUAGGGUGAAGCCAGAGGAAACUCUGGUGGAGGCUCGCAGCGGUUCUGACGUGCAAAUCGAUCGUCAAAUUUGGGUAUAGGGGCGAAAGACUAAUCGAACCAUCUA
rnacentral:rRNA from 1 species